rnacentral:rRNA from 1 species
GAUGAACGCUAGCGGCAGGCUUAAUACAUGCAAGUCGAGGGGCAGCGCAGUGUAGCAAUACAUGGGCGGCGACCGGCAAACGGGUGCGGAACACGUACGCAACCUUCCUUUAAGUGGGGGAUAGCCCAGGGAAACUUGGAUUAAUACCCCGUAAUAUUAUGAAGUGGCAUCACUUUAUACUUAUAGCUCCGGCGCUUAAAGAUGGGCGUGCGACUGAUUAGGUAGUUGGCGGGGUAACGGCCCACCAAGCCUGCGAUCAGUAACUGGUGUGAGAGCACGACCAGUCACACGGGCACUGAGACACGGGCCCGACUCCUACGGGAGGCAGCAGUAAGGAAUAUUGGUCAAUGGACGCAAGUCUGAACCAGCCAUGCCGCGUGGAGGAUGAAGGUCCUCUGGAUUGUAAACUUCUUUUAUUUGGGAAGAAACCCACUGUUUCUACGGUGGUUGACGGUACCAGAUGAAUAAGCACCGGCUAACUCCGUGCCAGCAGCCGCCGCCGUAA